UCAAGAUGAGAUUCUAGAUGACGAGUCCGACGUUUUCUGGGGGCAGUUUCUGCCUUUCUGAAUGCUUGAAGACAAGCCUCUAUAAAAUACCAUUCAUGCUUCCUGAUC
rnacentral:snoRNA from 1 species